rnacentral:rRNA from 1 species
UACGUAGGCAGCGAGCGUUGUUCGGAAUUACUGGGCGUAAAGAGUGUGUAGGCGGUGCUCUAAGUUCGGUGUGAAAUCUCCCGCUUAACUGGGAGGGUGCGCCGGAAACUGGAGUGCUCGAGCGUGGGAGAGGAAAGCGGAAUUCCUGGUGUAGCGGUGAAAUGCGUAGAUAUCAGGAGGAACACCUGCGUGAGUGAUACGGCUUUCUGGACCAUUGCUGACGCUGAGACACGAAAGCGUGGGUAGCAAACAGG